CGUCAGUGAGUACUGCUUUCCGACAUCAUUCGUCUUUGGUAGUGAGCCGGAAAGGAAAAAAAAAUUGCAGCGCAAAAAAGUUCCCUGGUCUGGUAUUUUAACAUCUACUAGCAUUUUGGCUUAUGUUUUGGUUGGAAUGGCAUACUAUUCGGCAUUCAGUUUUAAUGUUCUUUUGUACCCAUUGUACCUAAAAUCAGUAUUUGGUGCCACGUCAGAAUGGAUCACUAUAGCAGCUGCAGUACCAAAUCUUCUUGCUGUAUAUUUAUUUGUUAUAGCUACGUUUAUUUCAGAACGUUUUGUGCAAAGUCAAGUGUUCGAGAAAGUAACUGUUCGAAAAUGUUGUG